AGUUAGGGUUUGGGAGAGAGGAAGAACAGAGAAGACAAACCGCCGUUGGAGAUCGAAUCCAAGGCAAGAAACUUCGAAGCAAUACUUCUCUCGGUACUGGAAAAGGAGUUUGGGUGGUGGAUUCACUCAUUUCGGCAAGAAAAUCCGAGAACAGACAAAUUUCUUGAAGUUCCUGGACGA